CGAAGAAUGCUAUAAUGAAUGCAAGACAGUAAAAGUUUUUUCUAAUGACGGUGGCUAUCCAUUCGAAAGUGAGGUGAUGCGUAUGUGCGUAUCCCAAGAAUCUGUAGAAAGGAGAUGCCUUUUGUCUGUGGAAGCAGCGUUAGGAUUAAUGAUCAGUUUCGGUUCUCUAAUCGCAACUAUCAUUUUCGGAAUCCUGA
rnacentral:sRNA from 1 species